CUACGGGAGGCAGCAGGCGCGAAACCUUUACAAUGCACGCAAGUGUGAUAAGGGGAUCCUAAGUGCUCAUACAUUGUAUGGGCUUUUGCCAAGUGUAAAUAACUUGGAGAAUAAGUGGUGGGUAAGACUGGUGCCAGCCGCCGCGGUAACACCAGCGCCACGAGUGGCAACCACGUUUAUUGGGCCUAAAGGCGUCCGUAGCCGGCUAGGUAAAUCUUUUGUGAAAUCGUCAAGCUCAACUUGACGGCGCGCUUGAGACACUGCCUUGCUUGAGACCGGGAGGAGUCAGAGGUGUUCCAGGGGGAGCGGUAAAAUGUGAUAAUCCCUGGAGGAUCACCUAUGGCGAAGGCAUCUGACCAGAACGGAUCUGACGGUGAGGGACGAAGGCUGGGGGAGCGAUCCGGAUUAGAUACCCCCGUAGUC
rnacentral:rRNA from 1 species